UACGUAGGGGGCAAGCGUUGUCCGGAAUCAUUGGGCGUAAAGAGCGUGUAGGCGGUUUGGUAAGUCGGCUGUGAAAGUCCAGGGCUCAACCCUGGGAUGCCGGUCGAUACUGCCGGACUAGAGUUCGGAAGAGGCGAGUGGAAUUCCCGGUGUAGCGGUGAAAUGCGCAGAUAUCGGGAGGAACACCUAUGGCGAAGGCAGCUCGCUGGGACGUUACUGACGCUGAGACGCGAAAGCGUGGGGAGCGAACAGG
rnacentral:rRNA from 1 species